rnacentral:lncRNA from 1 species
UCUUUCUGCUUCCUCAGCCCAGAUGGCACAACAUCAGCUCGCUUAUCAGCACAUUCAUCAGCAGCAGCAGCAACAAUUGCAGCAGCAACUCCAAACUUUCUGGGCAAAUCAAUAUCAAGAAAUCGAGCAUGUUACUGAUUUCAAGAAUCAUAGCCUGCCGUUGGCAAGGAUCAAGAAAAUCAUGAAAGCGGACGAAGAUGUUAGGAUGAUUUCUGCAGAAGCACCAGUUGUAUUUGCUCGUGCCUGUGAGAUGUUCAUACUUGAGUUGACACUGCGUGCAUGGAACCACACUGAGGAGAACAAAAGGAGGACACUGCAGAAAAAUGAUAUUGCAGCAGCCAUAACAAGGACUGACAUAUUUGAUUUCUUAGUUGACAUUGUACCAAGGGAAGACUUGAAAGAUGAGGUGCUUGCAUCAAUUCCUAGAGGAACCCUUCCUGUUGGAGGCCCAACUGAGGGUCUGCCAUUCUAUUACGGCAUGCCACCUCAAUCUGCUCCACCGGUUGGAGCUCCAGGGAUGUACAUGGGAAAGCCUGUUGAUCAAGCUCUUUAUGCUCAGCAGACCCGUCCAUAUAUGGCUCAGCCAAUUUGGCCCCAGCAACAACAUCCACCCUCAGAUUCUUAAGCAGCUCAAAGCUUUAGGUCACAGUGUAAGCACAACAACAUAUUUCAUCACUAAAGUUACCCUCUGACAUUUAUUCUUUCUUUUUGAUUUAUGCUUUGCUCUUCCUUGCCUACUUCUAAUUUCCUUUAUCUUAUCGUAUAUUCCUAUUUAUCUAGAAGCUGAUACGAUGUCUGUUCGGUCAGCCUGUGCAUGUAUGUUUAUGGAUCCAAGGAAUGGAGUGGAAAUUGAAUCUUUGCUUUUCUUUUGGGGCCUCCCGAUCAAGUUUUAACUAAUAUUUGGAGGUUUGAGAGGAAAAUUACUGCAAUAUCAACUUAUUUAAGAAGUCUGAGGUGUCAUUAGUAGUCAACCUUUGGCGCAUUUCCAUUACUGUUUACGCGAUUAAUUAUAUCUGUUGAAUAUUACUCCUCCGACUGAUCCCUAAUUUUCAUGCAAAUCUGCAGAAGCCAGGAGCUUAGUAGCAGGGAGUAGUCCGAGUAGCGAAGUACUGGAGAAGCCAUCACAGGGAUAGCAGUCUGCAUACUUUGAACUCUUUAAUAUAUAAGACAUGAAGCAACAGUUGUUGAAAGUCAGAGUGUUCGGUCCUAGCUUAAACUUCAUGCAGUGAGCUUUUGAUGUUUUUUAGUUUAUGAACAAGUAUGUUCUGAGUGGUAAUCUUUUGUGAAUUAUAAAGUAAAACCUGGGUUUAGGUUGCUUAUGUGCAUAUCUAUCUUCCCCCUCCCUUUCUGCCUCUCUUUGAUGGCAACUUUGUGGCUCAAGUCCUCCAUUCAAAUGCUGCUCCUUGGGAGAUGAGAGAAAAGCCGUUGUCUGUGUUUAACUUUAAUUAGUGCUGAUUUCAUAAAUUUAACUAAUAAAAAGGGAUACUAGAGAGCUAUUAUAAUACUAGAUUUUAAUCUUAUGAUUAUGAG